GCAAUUAAGAUAAAUUGAAACUGACGUAGUCAUACUCGUUCUGCGGCUACAAAAGAAUUGGUUCAGGAGUUGCAAGUUGGUAGUCACAAUGAAAGUUGUAGCUGUUAUAACUAUUCUGGUGAUCAUAUCAUCACUGUCUCACCAAAAAAUAUACGACUCUGGUCUAUUGAUGUUGAAAUCCCAAUUGCAAGAAAAGAUGUUAGAGGUUCUACAAGAUUUGCUCAAGACAGGGCAAACGUUCACAGCCAAAGAAUUCGAGGAUAAGAUUCCUGAAAUAGCAGUGAUGGCAGGAUUCAGCAUACAUAGUCUUGGAUACAUAUCUAUGGACGAAUUUCAAAUGAUUGUUAAGGAAAUAGAAAGAUCUCCAGAGUUUGUUUCCAGAUGGAAAAAUAUACUAAGAAUAAAUAAAAAAAUAUAUACUAAGAAAGAUAUUGCUUCGAGGUGUGCUUUUUGCAACUCCUAACUGAUAUUUUAAGAUAAGGAUGUAUUAGUUGGCUGCAUGCAUGAUACACAACAUAAUAGUACAUAAUAUUAAUUUGUUGACAGCUUUUUAGUCAAUACAAACAAAUAUCUUUAUUUAAAAUCCUUCUUAUACAUGUUAAGUAUUGUAUAUAUUUAGUAGAAAGAACUGUCAUUUCUGUGUUCCUGUCAUUUACAAGAAAUUGGGUUUGAUUCUACCCCAUGUGAGCCUGUUGUUGUAAGUUUCUGUUAACCUUAUGCUUAAAGAAAAUACUUUUGAAUUAAGAAGUCGGUUUAGAAUAAUCAUCCUAGUCUCGUUAAAACUCCAACUGAUUACGAUUUGUUUAAGUUUACUAUUUACAUUAUACUUGCUGUAAUAGUGUGCUUUAUUUGUGAGUCAUGAUACAACGGUUACUGUAGCUGGUUAUAAAUAUAGAUCAAAAUGAAUACUCCACCUUUAUUGUCUGUUAUUCACACGAUUCAUAAUUUUAUAACAAAACAUUACAGGUUCUUACAUAAAUUAUUGACAAGUCGUCUAGUCGAGUGAAAAAGUGUGA